rnacentral:lncRNA from 1 species
CACAGGUGACCCUGGGAGUGUCCCAGGUGACCCUGAGGUCACAGGUGACCCUGAGGUGACUCUGGUGACCCUGGGGUGACACAGGUGACCCUGGGGGUGACCCAGGUGACCCUGAGGUGACCCAGGUGACCCUGGGGGUGACACAGGUGACCCAGGUGACCCCUGAGGUGACCCAGGUGACCCUGAGGUGUCCCAGGUGACCCCAGGGGUGACCCAGGUGACCCUGGGGGUGACACAGGUGACCCAGGUGACCCUGGGAGUGUCCCAGGUGACCCUGGGGGUGACCCAGGUGACCCUGAGGUGACACAGGUGACCCUGAGGUCACACAGGUGACACAGGUGACCCCACAGGUGACUCAGGUGACCCAGGUGUCCCCCCCAGGGCGGGAUGCUGGCGGUGAGGGAGAACAGGUGACCCUGGGGGUGACCCAGGUGACCCUGAGGUGACAGAGAUGACCCAGGUGACCUUGAGGUGACACAGGUGACCCUGAGGUCACACAGGUGACCCUGGGAGUGUCCCAGGUGACCCUGAGGUCACACAGGUGACCCAGGUGACCCUGAGGUGACACAGGUGACCCUGGGGGUAACACAGGUGACCUUGGUGGCCCAGGUGACCCUGGGGGUGACACAGGUGAUACCAAUGACCCCAGGGGUGACCCAGGUGACCCAGGUGACCCAGGUGUCCCCCCCAGGGCGGGAUGCUGGCGGUGCGGGAGAACAGGUGACCCUGGGGGUGGCACAGGUGACCCUGAGGUGACCCAGGUGACCCAGGUGACCCUGGGGGUGGCACAGGUGACCCAGGUGACCCUGAGGUGACCCAGGUGACCCAGGUGUCCCCCCCAGGGCGGGAUGCUGGCGGUGAGGGAGAACAGGUACAUCGUGCUGGCCAAGGACUUCGAGAAGGCCUACAAGACCGUCAUCAAGAAGGACGAGCAGGAGCACGAGUUCUACAAGUGACACCGAGGGGACAACGAGGGGACAACGACGAGGGGACACCGGGGGGACAACGGGGGGACAACGGGGGGA